UACGGGGGGGGCAAGCGUUGUUCGGAAUUACUGGGCGUAAAGGGCUCGUAGGCGGCCAACUAAGUCCGACGUGAAAUCCCCAGGCUUAACCUGGGAACUGCGUCGGAUACUGGAUGGCUUGAAUUCGGGAGAGGGAUGCAGAAUUCCAGGUGUAGCGGUGAAAUGCGUAGAUAUCUGGAGGAAUACCGGUGGCGAAGGCGGCAUCCUGGACCGACAUUGACGCUGAGGAGCGAAAGCUAGGGGAGCAAACGGGG
rnacentral:rRNA from 1 species